UUCAUUAUUGGCAAAGUUUGAUAUUGUAAUCAUAUAGUUUGCCACAAAUGUCACAGUUUUUGUUCCUAAAUUAUUUGUAACAUUCUAGUGACAAGAAGGGCUAUAGUAAUCCUACAUUAUGGGUUUGAUUUAUUGAACAUGCUGAUAUUUGCUACACAUUCAGAGAUGGGGCUAACAUAUAGUUGAAGCAUAAAGAAACUAUUGAGUUUGUGCCUCGGCAAUGGUUUUCUGACUGGCAAUUUAGAAAAUUUUCAAGAUUUUUUAUUGGCAAGCCAUUUCAGUUGAGCAGUACCUAUGGUUGAAGAUUGAUAAUAUUUUAUCUAGAUAUUGUUUUAUAAUUUUUGGCAAAUUUGUUUUAGUUGUGGGUACCUCACAUAAUUAUGCCUGUUUCAAAAAAAUUUGAUCCACUUUAUGGACAUUCACAUAUGGUUUGCCUGUAUACCAUACCAUUUGCUCUCUUUUUGGACUAAGUUAAUGCAGCCAAGGAAAAGGGCAUUUGAAAAUUGUUUCUUUUCACACACACACAUAUAGGAUUCCUUGUAUAUUUUAAUAUUCAAGACUUGGAGUCUUUUAAUGUAUGAAGAUUAAAGUUUUGAUAUCAUACUAGGAUUUGCUUUGUUUUCCUGUUCCUAUACGUCCUAAGUAAUAAUUAAUUAGAGAUAAUUCUUGAUUGUCUUUUUCCUUGUUCUCAUCACCAGGUUCAUUUCAUCCCCUAUCCCCAAAUACCAAAUUCUGAAAGUACAGAUAAAAAACAAUCAUAUUUGAUUUAAUGACUGCCUUUAUCUUGCUUGCUAAGUUUGAACUUCUUGUGUACCAUUGCUUGCUAUGCAUAUUUGGAUAAAAACACCAUACUUGUAAGUUGAUUAUGAUUAUCAUUCUUGCAGAUCGGAUGAUGAAAUGGAAAUGGAUAGUCGUGAAUAUUUUUUGAGACGAAGGUUGAUAAUGCAGAGAAAGGGCUUCCGUAUCGCAUGUGUGAUUAGCAGCCAGAUGGAUGCAUUAACAGGCCCCUUUUCAGGACAACGCAUUUUUAAGCUUCCUAACCCGAUGUGUUAUUAUUCCAAUCAUCCGAUGGAGAAAAUGUAUGCACCAAAAUUAUGAUGUUCCUUGUUAGCACCUUGAUUUGUUAUUCAGUAGUUCUACAGUUUCUCGCUGUAAAGCCUGCUCGGCCUUUAUCUGAACUACCUGGGUUCUCCUUAAGUAUUUUGUUGUAUAUAGGUAUUGAUAUCAUUGGUUUGAUCGAGUUCAUCACAAUUAUC
rnacentral:misc_RNA from 1 species